CUUCAAUAUAGUGAAGCAGUGGUGGAAGAAGCAUUGAGAUCUUAAUCUUCAAAUCUCCAAUUCUUUGACAAUAAUUAAUUUUCGUUGGACAUCAGGCAGUGCAUCUGCUGCACAAAGGACAAGAUAUAUGGAGCAAUCAAUGACUCAUCGUCAGCGUCAUUAUGGCCUGUAUAAUCAGGGAGCCACAUGUUACCUCCACAGUGUCCUGCAAGUUCUCUUCACGACAACAGAGAUCCAAGACAAUGUUGGAUCCAGAAUUACAAACACAUCUUCAGCAGAGAAAAAAAUCUUUAAAGGACUGAAGGGAAAAACAUGCAAAACAGAAACUAUCACAGCAAUAUUUGGAGAUUCAAAAUGGUAAGCUGGACAGUAAUAAAUAAGAAAAAAAAUAUUCAAAUAGCAAGGGGCAAUCAAUAAGAAAGUCACAUAUCAGUAGUAAAUUAAAGAUGCUUUGAUGAAAUUAAUAUAUUAGAUUCAGUUUAAUGUAUCCUUUUGCAGUUUUUCAACAAUGUGAUGCAGCUGAAUGCCUGGAGUUGAUUAUAUAUAUAUAUAUAUAAUGAUAAAACAGUGAAAUGUGAAAUUAACAGAUUGAAUAAAGAUAUUAUAAAAAUUACAAAAACUGCAACAAUGAGAUAACAUUAAAGAAGCUAAAGCAAAAUGAUUCUCACAAAAACAGAAUAAACAGAGUUUCAAAUAUUAGAAGUGUCUUAAGACAUGUUAAUAACUACAAUUUUGAUUUUGAAGAAGAAAAUGCCUGUAAAUGUUUCAACUGUGGAGAAAAGGACAUUAUAAUCAUGUGGUGAGAUAUUGUUCCAAAUUUUAGUAUAAGUACAAAAAAGACAUCAGGCUCUAACUGUUAUUGAAAGCUGGUAUGGGGCUGAGUUCCUGUCUGAGUAACAUAAUUGGCAUUAUGAAGAACAAUAAAAAUAAGGUACAAAUG